UACAUGUGGGGCAAGCGUUGUUCGGAAUUACUGGGCAUAAAGGGUGCGUAGGCGGCGCGGUAAGUCGGGUGUGAAAUCUCGGAGCUUAACUCCGAAACUGCAUUCGAUACUGCCGUGCUUGAGGACUGGAGAGGAGACUGGAAUUUACGGUGUAGCGGUGAAAUGCGUAGAUAUCGUAAGGAAGACCAGUGGCGAAGGCGGGUCUCUGGACAGUUCCUGACGCUGAGGCACGAAGGCCAGGGGAGCAAACGGG
rnacentral:rRNA from 1 species